GAUGAACGCUGGCGGCGUGCCUAAUACAUGCAAGUCGAGCGAACAGACGAGGAGCUUGCUCCUCUGACGCUAGCGGCGGACGGGUGAGUAACACGUGGAUAACCUACCUAUAAGACUGGGAUAACUUCGGGAAACCGGAGCUAAUACCGGAUAAUAUAUUGAACCGCAUGGUUCAAUAGUGAAAGACGGUUUUGCUGUCACUUAUAGAUGGAUCCGCGCCGCAUUAGCUAGUUGGUAAGGUAACGGCUUACCAAGGCAACGAUGCGUAGCCGACCUGAGAGGGUGAUCGGCCACACUGGAACUGAGACACGGUCCAGACUCCUACGGGAGGCAGCAGUAGGGAAUCUUCCGCAAAGGGCGAAAGCCUGACGGAGCAACGCCGCGUGAGUGAUGAAGGUCUUCGGAUCGUAAAACUCUGUUAUUAGGGAAGAACAAAUGUGUAAGUAACUAUGCACGUCUUGACGGUACCUAAUCAGAAAGCCACGGCUAACUACGUG
rnacentral:rRNA from 1 species